rnacentral:rRNA from 1 species
AACGCGAAGAACCUUACCUGGGUUUGACAUCCUCGGACAACCGUAGAGAUACGGCUUCUGUAGCAAUACAGCCGAGAGACAGGUGCUGCAUGGCUGUCGUCAGCUCGUGUGGUGACAUGUUGGGUUAAGUCCCGCAACGAGCGCAACCCUUGUCCUUAGUUGCCAGCAUUAAGUUGGGCUCUCUAAGGAGACUGCCGGUGACAAACCGGAGGAAGGUGGGGAUGACGUCAAGUCAUCAUGGCCCUUAUGACCAGGGCUACACACGUGCUACAAUGGUAGAUACAAAGGGUCGCGAAUCCGCAAGGUGGAGCCAAUCCCAUAAAGUCUAUCGUAGUCCGGAUCGGAGUCUGCAACUCGACUCCGUGAAGUCGGAAUCGCUAGUAAUCGUAGAUCAGCAUUGCUACGGUGAAUACGUUCCCGGGCCUUGUACACACCGAGUAUA